CUUUUCCAUUGUCGAUUUCCCCAUAUGUGACAUCCAUUGUAACAUCUUCCCACUACCAUCCACUUUUCCACUGUCAAUUUCUUUAUCUCUGAUGUCCUAGAUGAAAUUGUAGAAGAUGUUGCUCAUGGGAUAGAUGAAGGUUCUGCAUGUGAACAUGUAAUUGGUUUGGAUGAUGUGGAUGUCUCUACUACCCAACCUCAACCAUCAGUUGGUAGAAGAAAUCAAAAUUCUACAACAAGUAAAAAGUGAAUGACUAAUGACAUGAGUGAAGUGGAUGGGUUUGAAAAAUUUAUGGAUGUUGCCAUUUUAUUGAAGGAGAAAUUAGAAAAUAUUGGAAAUUCAUUAAGCCAUGAUUUGGGGACUGAAGUACUUGUGCAUAAAAAAAAAAUUCAAGAUUUGAAUAGUGCAUUACGUGAGGUUGUGGGUUUGAAAGAGGAUGAAAUUGAUGAGACAUAUUACAAACUUAUUGAUAAUCCAUCCCAAAUGACUUACUUUUUACUUUUCCCUCUAGCAGUAGACUUAGAUGGUCGAGAAAGAUUAUCUCAAAGCCUUGAUGUUAAAAUAGUUUAAUCUUGCAAGACUUUGUUGUUAAUUGUUGAGAACUUAAAAACUUGUUAUUAGUUGGUUUGUUUUUCUAGGAUAACAAUAUUAUUAAGGAUGUUUGCGUUCUUCAAUAUUAUUAUG